AUUUUAACGCUGGCCGGCAGGCCUAACNCAUGCAAGUCGANCGGAAACGAAGAGGUGCUUGCACCUCUGGCGUCGAGCGGCGGACGGGUGAGUAAUGCUUGGGAAUAUGCCUUAUGGUGGGGGACAACAGUUGGAAACGACUGCUAAUACCGCAUGAUGUCUACGGACCAAAGUGGGGGACCUUCGGGCCUCACGCCAUAAGAUUAGCCCAAGUGGGAUUAGCUAGUUGGUGAGGUAAUGGCUCACCAAGGCAACGAUCCCUAGCUGGUUUGAGAGGAUGAUCAGCCACACUGGGACUGAGACACGGCCCAGACUCCUACGGGAGGCAGCAGUGGGGAAUAUUGCACAAUGGGCGCAAGCCUGAUGCAGCCAUGCCGCGUGUGUGAAGAAGGCCUUCGGGUUGUAAAGCACUUUCAGUAAGGAGGAAAGGUUAAGUGUUAAUAGCACUUAGCUGUGACGUUACUUACAGAAGAAGCACCGGCUAACUCCGUGCCAGCAGCCGCGGGUAAUA
rnacentral:rRNA from 1 species